UCAAACUUGGUCAUUUAGAGGAAGUAAAAGUCGUAACAAGGUUUCCGUAGGUGAACCUGCGGAAGGAUCAUUACUGAGUUAGGGUCUAAUCGGCCCGACCUCCCACCCUAUGUUUACUUAAAAACUUUUGUUGCUUCGGUGGGCCCGUCUUCGGACCGCCGGAGGGUCGUCACGGACCCUCUGGCUCGUGCCUACCGGUGGCCUCUUUAUUAAACUCUUGAAUCAUUCGUGUCAAUUGUCUAAGUAAAGUCUUUAAUUAAAAGCAAAACUUUCAACAACGGAUCUCUUGGUUCUGGCAUCGAUGAAGAACGCAGC
rnacentral:misc_RNA from 1 species